AAAGAACUCUGAAGAGAGAGUUCAAUAGUACGUGAAACCAUAAUGAGUAAAACGGAUAACUGUACUUUUUUGUGAAAUGCUUUUCAAUAGUUAGUGGCGGUUAUCGAGUGUGCGAGAAUUAGCUGUUUUUCAGCAAAAUUCUUGCGCAUAGAUAGCUGGCAGUAUCUGUGAUUUGAUGCAUUUCCUAUCAUUAAGAAGCUUUAUGAUCUAUGCAGAGGCUUGCUGCAGUUUGCACAUUGUGCCAAGUAGCAGGUUGUGCAUUAUGAUUGUUCAGCUUGGCUGAGAUUACUUUAGCCCGAGGUACUUAAAACCUGGGUGACGUGUAUGCCUAGCAGACGGGUUAGUUCUUGUUUGUGGCUAUCACGUUGUUCUGGUUUGUAUCUUUUGUUUAAUGAUUAUGUAUUAGUUAUUUGACCCGUCUUGAAACACGGACCAAGGAGUUCAAAUGGCACGCGAGUCAUUGGGUUUAGUAAUCCAAAGGCGAAGUGAAAUGCGAGCGUAUUGUUAUUUGUGUUUUUUCACGAAAAAAUGAUAAGCUACUAGUGCUUUCAGGCAUUUGUAGACUACAAGCGUGUCGUUUGAGACCCGAAAGAUGGUGAUCUAUGCCUAGUCAAGAUGAAGCCAGAGGAAACUCUGGUGGAUGUCUGAAGUUUUUCUGACGUGCAAAUCGAUAAUCUGAUCUGGGUAUAGGGGCGAAAGACUAAUCGA
rnacentral:rRNA from 1 species